rnacentral:tRNA from 1 species
ACCAGUAUGGUGUAGAGGUUUGAGUGUUGGACUAUGACUCUGAAGACUUGGGUUCAAUUCCCUGCUUGGA